CGCUUGCUCAGGGCAGCGGUUAGCGCUGUCGCCUCGGAAGAAGGAGGUCCCGGGUUCGAGUUCCGGCUAGCUGG
rnacentral:tRNA from 1 species